rnacentral:rRNA from 1 species
UCGGGUUGUAAAGCACUUUUGUCCGGAAAGAAAACUUCGGGGCUAAUACCUCUGGAGGAUGACGGUACCGGAAGAAUAAGCACCGGCUAACUACGUGCCAGCAGCGCGGUAAUCGUAGGGUGCGAGCGUUAAUCGGAAUUACUGGGCGUAAAGCGUGCGCAGGCGGUCUGUUAAGACAGAUGUGAAAUCCCCGGGCUUAACCUGGGAACUGCAUUUGUGUCUGGCAGGCUAGAGUAUGGCAGAGGGGGGUAGAAUUCCACGUGUAGCAGUGAAAUGCGUAGAGAUGUGGAGGAAUACCGAUGGCGAAGGCAGCCCCCUGGGCCAAUACUGACGCUCAUGCACGAAAGCGUGGGGAGCAAACAGGAUUAGAUACCCUGGUAGUCCACGCCCUAAACGAUGUCAACUAGUUGUUGGGGAUUCAUUUCCUUAGUAACGUAGCUAACGCGUGAAGUUGACCGCCUGGGGAGUACGGUCGCAAGAUUAAAACUCAAAGGAAUUGACGGGGACCCGCACAAGCGGCGGAUGAUGUGGAUUAAUUCGAUGCAACGCGAAAAACCUUACCUACCCUUGACAUGGUCGGAACCCUGGUG